rnacentral:rRNA from 1 species
AUUGAACGCUGGCGGCAGGCCUAACACAUGCAAGUCGAACGAGUGGCGGACGGGUGAGUAAUGUCUGGGAAACUGCCCGAUGGAGGGGGAUAACUACUGGAAACGGUAGCUAAUACCGCAUACCAUCGGAUGUGCCCAGAUGGGAUUAGAUUGUAGGUGAGGUAACGGCUCACCUAGGCGACGAUCCCUAGCUGGUCUGAGAGGAUGACCAGCUCAACUGGAACUGAGACACGGUCCAGACUCGUACGGUAGGCAGCAGGGGGGAAUAUGGCACAAUGGGCGCAAGCCUGAUGCACUCAGGGCGCGGGUAUGAAGAAGGCCUUCGGGUUGUAAAGUACUUGCAGCGGGGAGGCGUUACCCACAGAAGAAUCACCGGCUAACUCCGUGCCAGCCGCCGCGGUAAUAC